GGCUUCCCUGUGAUUGGGUCCUCCUGGAGCUUUUUAACUCUGAGGCUUGUCUACACCAAGCCUCCAGCAUUUCAUUGAUUACACUUUAGGUUUUCCUACCCCAGCACUGCUUCCUACAGAGGCUCUGUCUCAGUUUGUUCAGCUUUUUACUUGUUUGGACAGACUGGCAACUGCUAAGAAUCUUACAUAAGUGAUGAGAAACUUCCAGUUUUGGUCCUACUUUCAUGGGGAAAUCUAGAAUUGUCUCUAGAUAACGUUUAAGGGAAGAAGGUCAUGUUUUUAUUUAUUAAAGUUUUCCAGCUGGGACAUAGUUUUUCUUCUGUCUUUGCACAUGGAUUCCAACUAACACCAUCAGCUCGCCUGCUUCUCAGACCUUCAGACUCAGAUGGAACUACACUAUAGGUUCUCCUGGGUCUGGACUUCUCAGCCUCCAUAAUCAUAGGUUUUCCUCAAAUGUGUGAUGACCUUAGCUGACCAUUUUUUUUUUAAAAGAACUUCUAACAUUUUUCAUUAAGGAACGGACUGUUGUGCAGACUCAGGCAGCUCACUCGGGGCUGGGCAGCAGACAGUGAUUAUCAUCACCCCCUGCUUUCAUCCAUUACGGCGGGUGUUAGCAGAUGUGGGAUUUGAGACCCAAAGAAGUGAAGUAACCUGCCCAAGUUUACACAGCUUGGAGUAGAACCCGAGUUUCUAUGGACUCCAGAGCUCAUGAGUUCACCACUUCAUUCUGUGCCUCCUAACUCUGUGCCGCUGAGGACUCAGAAGAAGCCAGUGCUAAUGCUUUCUCCAGUUUCUCUCCUCUUGUGUGAACUGUGUGAACUGCCACUUUAAGACUCUCUUGGAGAAUCAUAAUCCAAGUUGCGAAGUCCAACAAUUCCUCUGGAGAAAUGGUCCUCAACUGGGGGCAAAUUUGGGCCCCAGGAGACAUAUGGCAAUGUCUGACAAUGUUUUUUUGAUUGUUACAAACAGGUUGGGGAGAGAGUCCUGCUAGCAUCUAGUUGGUAGAGGCCAGAGAUAAUGCUGAACAGCCUGCAGGAUACCCCGAACCCCAUCAAAAGAUUCUCUGACCCAAAACGUCAAUGGUACUGAGGUUGAAAAACCCUGGUCUGGAGUUUUAAUCAGUUGGCCAUUUUUGCCAUCCCAUGUUGAAAUAUUUUUAUUUAAAACAUUACAUCUGGUUUAUUUUUUCAAGAUAAUGUCCAGUGUACAGUGGAAAAUGAUGUGUUUUCCUAUCACUUUGCUCAAGAAUAAAGCUGUAAUAUUUGCAAAAUAGAUAACCUUAGUUGUCACUCAAAAUGUAAACUGUCAUAAGGGAUAAGAGAUUAACUGAUUUCACUGUCAACCUUUACAGUGUCAUUAUUUUUCCCUGUAACUGUCUGCUUGAUAUCCUUGCUGACGAAGAUGUUUUAAAAUGGAAGACAAUUAGAGGCUUUAUGUUUAUGAAAAAUGAAGUGUUCACACACAAAAGAAUGCACAGUGGACCUUUUAUGGGAUGUUUAAAAUAUCCUUUCAUUAAAAGAUUUUCUUAAGUGGCUGUUUGUCACUUAAUAGGAA